GUGGCCAUAGCUCAGUUGGUAGAGCGCAGGAUUGUGAUUCCUGAUGUCGCGGGUUCGAUCCCCGUUGGUCACCCCA
rnacentral:tRNA from 1 species